rnacentral:rRNA from 1 species
CAGUAGCCGCGGUAACACGUAGGGUGCAAGCGUUAAUCGGAAUUACUGGGCGUAAAGCGUGCGCAGGCGGUUUGUUAAGACAGAUGUGAAAUCCCCGGGCUCAACCUGGGAACUGCAUUUGUGACUGGCAAGCUAGAGUGUGGCAGAGGGGGGUGGAAUUCCACGUGUAGCAGUGAAAUGCGUAGAUAUGUGGAGGAAUACCGAUGGCGAAGGCAGCCCCCUGGGAUAACACUGACGCUCAUGCACGAAAGCGGGGGGAGCAGACAGGAUUAGAUACCCCGGUAGUCCCUGUCUCUAUACC